GUAGUACUUUCUCCGUCCAACAAAGAAUGUCUCAAUUUUGACUAAAUUUGAAUGCAUCUAUACACUAAGUCAUGUCUAGAUCCAUGAGAAUUUUGACAAACUUGAGAUAUAUUUUUUUGAACGGAGAAAGUAGUAU
rfam:Brachypodium distachyon strain Bd21 chromosome 2, whole genome shotgun sequence.